CGGCGGUGGCGGAGUCGAAGGGGGAGCCGCGGACUUCGAUCCCGCGCCGUGAGGACGGAAUUUUGUGUUCUGAAAGAAGUCACCUUGUGCGUGAUCAUGACCAUAUCAUGAAGGACUGGAAGUACUGGAAACUUGAAAAGCCACCAAAAAUGAACACACUGCAUUUGAGAAGUUCAUUAUCAGAGUUGUUCAAAAGUACAAGAAACCAAGAAGGAGGUACAGAUAGUGCUUCUUAGUAGAUUUAUGUAGUCAACUUUACUUUGUGUGAUGAUUUAAAAACAUCCGUUAAAGCUAAUAAAAUGGUCGUGGAACAUU